rnacentral:rRNA from 1 species
GGCCUAACACAUGCAAGUCGAGCGGAAACGACACUAACAAUCCUUCGGGUGCGUUAAUGGGCGUCGAGCGGCGGACGGGUGAGUAAUGCCUAGGAAAUUGCCUUGAUGUGGGGGAUAACCAUUGGAAACGAUGGCUAAUACCGCAUAAUGCCUACGGGCCAAAGAGGGGGACCUUCGGGCCUCUCGCGUCAAGAUAUGCCUAGGUGGGAUUAGCUAGUUGGUGAGGUAAUGGCUCACCAAGGCGACGAUCCCUAGCUGGUCUGAGAGGAUGAUCAGCCACACUGGAACUGAGACACGGUCCAGACUCCUACGGGAGGCAGCAGUGGGGAAUAUUGCACAAUGGGCGAAAGCCUGAUGCAGCCAUGCCGCGUGUAUGAAGAAGGCCUUCGGGUUGUAAAGUACUUUCAGUUGUGAGGAAGGGGGUAGCGUUAAUAGCGCUAUCUCUUGACGUUAGCAACAGAAGAAGCACCGGCUAACUCCGUGCCAGCAGCCGCGGUAAUACGGAGGGUGCGAGCGUUAAUCGGAAUUACUGGGCGUAAAGCGCAUGCAGGUGGUUCAUUAAGUCAGAUGUGAAAGCCCGGGGCUCAACCUCGGAACUGCAUUUGAAACUGGUGAACUAGAGUACUGUAGAGGGGGGUAGAAUUUCAGGUGUAGCGGUGAAAUGCGUAGAGAUCUGAAGGAAUACCAGUGGCGAAGGCGGCCCCCUGGACAGAUACUGACACUCAGAUGCGAAAGCGUGGGGAGCAAACAG